GCUCGUCAACACUUGGAUAAUCGGAAGACUUAGCAAUUAUGUUGAUUAUUGAAGUAUGGAUGAUUGAUGAAACAAGUUUAGGGUGGCUAGAUACACACCUAAAUUUAUCUAUCUUUUGUUGUUAUGUUAUUUGUUGAAACAAUGUUGUUAUUUCCUUUUGAAUAUUGUUGUUAUGACGUCUCUAGCAAUCUUUACACACUUCGUCUCAUCCCGAUGUUUCCGCCAUUGGUUGGGGUGUGA
rnacentral:lncRNA from 1 species